AGAUGGAAGAUGAUGCCUAGUGGACAGCAAAGGCCUUGAUGAAUACGUGAAGGAACUAGGAGUGGGAAUAGCUUUGUGAAAAAUGGGCACAAUGGCCAAGCCAGAGUGUAUCAUCAUUUGUGAUGACAAAAACCUCACCAUAAAAACUCAGAGCACUUAGAAAACAGCACAGUUUUCUCGUACCCUGGGAGAGAAGUUUGAAGAAACUACAGCUCAUAGCAAAAAAACUCAGACUCUCUACAACUUUACAGAUGGAUCAUUGGUUCAGCAUCAGGAGUGGGAUGGGAAGAAAAGCACAAUAACAAGAAAAUUGAAAGAUGGGAAAUUCAUGGUAGACUGUGUCAUGAACAAUGUCACCUGUUCUCAGAUCUAUAAAAAAGUAGAAUAAA
rnacentral:lncRNA from 1 species